rnacentral:rRNA from 1 species
AUGAACGCUGGCGGCGUGCCUAAUACAUGCAAGUCGAGCGAACAGACGAGGAGCUUGCUCCUCUGACGUUAGCGGCGGACGGGUGAGUAACACGUGGAUAACCUACCUAUAAGACUGGGAUAACUUCGGGAAACCGGAGCUAAUACCGGAUAAUAUAUUGAACCGCAUGGUUCAAUAGUUAAAGACGGUUUUGCUGUCACUUAUAGAUGGAUCCGCGCCGCAUUAGCUAGUUGGUAAGGUAACGGCUUACCAAGGCAACGAUGCGUAGCCGACCUGAGAGGGUGAUCGGCCACACUGGAACUGAGACACGGUCCAGACUCCUACGGGAGGCAGCAGUAGGGAAUCUUCCGCAAUGGGCGAAAGCCUGACGGAGCAACGCCGCGUGAGUGAUGAAGGUCUGCGGAUCGUAAAACUCUGUUAUUAGGGAAGAACAAAUGUGUAAGUAACUAUGCACGUCUUGACGGUACCUAAGCAGAAAGCCACGGCUAACUACGU